rnacentral:sRNA from 1 species
AACGUAGCGAAAGGAGGUGAUCCGAUGUCUCAUGGUUCAGCAUGGAGGUCGGUUCAGUCCGUUCGGGAGACGCGCUCCUAAGGAGCGCCGACGGUUUCCCGGGCCGGCACUUCCGGCCGCUGACCAUGUCAGGGGAUUGCCGGAGCGAAAGCUCCGGCAAUCCU